rnacentral:rRNA from 1 species
GAUGAACGCUAGCUACAGGCUUAACACAUGCAAGUCGAGGGGAAACGACAUCGAAAGCUUGCUUUUGAUGGGCGUCGACCGGCGCACGGGUGAGUAACGCGUAUCCAACCUGCCCACCACUUGGGGAUAACCUUGCGAAAGUAAGACUAAUACCCAAUGACGUCUCUAGAAGACAUCUGAAGGAGAUUAAAGAUUUAUCGGUGAUGGAUGGGGAUGCGUCUGAUUAGCUUGUUGGCGGGGUAACGGCCCACCAAGGCGACGAUCAGUAGGGGUUCUGAGAGGAAGGUCCCCCACAUUGGAACUGAGACACGGUCCAAACUCCUACGGGAGGCAGCAGUGAGGAAUAUUGGUCAAUGGGCGAGAGCCUGAACCAGCCAAGUAGCGUGCAGGAUGACGGCCCUAUGGGUUGUAAACUGCUUUUAUAAGGGAAUAAAGUGUGCCUCGUGAGGCUUUUUGCAUGUACCUUAUGAAUAAGGACCGGCUAAUUCCGUGCCAGCCGCCGCCGUAA